rnacentral:RNase_P_RNA from 1 species
AGUCCGAGCAUCACAGAGCAGGAUAGCUGUUAACGGCAGCCGAGGGCGACCUCAGGGCAAGUGCAACAGAAAUUAGACUACCCUUGAAAAAGGGAAAAGGUGGAAAGGUGAGGUAAGAGCUCACCAGAGUGCAUGAGAAUGCACUGCUGUGUAAACCCUAUCUGAUGCAACGUCUAUUGGUACAGAUACAUCAACAUCUGCUCGGUGGAUGUACUGUAAUGACGGCUCGAACCAUAUGGCGACAUAUGGUCUAGAUAAAUUAUCGCACACGACAGAACUCGGCUUAUCGGUUUGGUCAUAUA